rfam:Dipodomys ordii contig_16589, whole genome shotgun sequence.
GGGAAGGUGGCUCAGUGGUAGAGCACUUGCCUUGCAUGCAUGAGGCCCUGGGUUCAAUUCCUCAGCACCCA